rnacentral:rRNA from 2 species
UACGGAGGGAGCUAGCGUUGUUCGGAAUUACUGGGCGUAAAGCGUACGUAGGCGGUUAUUCAAGUCAGAGGUGAAAGCCUGGAGCUCAACUCCAGAACUGCCUUUGAAACUAGAUAGCUAGAAUCUUGGAGAGGUGAGUGGAAUUCCGAGUGUAGAGGUGAAAUUCGUAGAUAUUCGGAAGAACACCAGUGGCGAAGGCGACUCACUGGACAAGUAUUGACGCUGAGGUACGAAAGCGUGGGGAGCAAACAGG